GUCGAGGUGGCGGAACUGGUAGACGCGCAGUCUUGAGGAGGCUGUGCCGCAAGGCGUGGAGGUUCAAGUCCUCUCCUCGACA
rnacentral:tRNA from 7 species